UCAGUUGUGUGUGACACACGACCAUGUGUGACACACGACCGUGUGCCACCUGAUGUUGAAAUUGAAUUGACGUCAGUAUGCUCUACAUGGUCUCACACACAGACGUGUGACUGGCCAUGUGGUAUAAGUCAGUAUACCUCCUAAAUAGCACACGGCCUGGCACACGAGUGUGUGGGGCCAUUUCGUAGGCCACACGGGCUAGACACACGGACGUGUGGUCAUCCGUGUGACCCAAGUCAAUAUUCUCU
rnacentral:lncRNA from 1 species